AGAAAAUAAUAUGGUCAAGCGAAGAAUAGGUUUAUGGUGGAUGUCUUGGAGCCGACCGGCGAAGAAGGCCGUGAUAAGCUGCGAAAAGCUUCGGGGAGGAGCACAUAUCCUGUGAUCCGGAGAUAGCCGAAUGGGGUAACCCGAUAGAAGUAAUUCUAUCAUUACGCUCUUGAAUAAAAUAGAGAGGUAAAGCAAUACUGAGUGAACUGAACCAUCUAAGUAACUCAAGGAAAAGACAUCAAACGAGAUUCCGAAAGUAGUGGCGAGCGAAAUUGGAAGAGCCCAAACCCGAUAAACGGGGGUUGUAGGGCUGCACGGGCUUACGUACAGCAAGUUUAGAAAGCGAAUGUAUAGCAGAAAGGUUUUGGGAAAGCCUGACAGAGAGGGUGAAAUCCCCGUACGCGAAAUACAGUCGUCUUGCCGGUGCAGUACCUGAGUACGGCGGGACACGAGAAAUCCUGUCGGAAUCCGGGUCGACCACGAUCCAAGGCUAAAUACGAGUUGGCUACCGAUAGCGGACAAGUACCGUGAGGGAAAGAUGAAAAGAACCCCGGUGAGGGGAGUGAAAUAGAACCUGAAACCAUAAACCGACAAGAUGUUACAGCCCUUUAUGGGUGGUAGCGUGCCUUUUGUAGAAUGAGCCUGCGAGUUACGGUAUGCAGCGAGGUUAAGGAAUAGGAGUUCCGGAGCCGGAGGGAAACCGAGUCUGAAUAGGGCGGAAGUAAGUUGCAUGUCGUAGACCCGAAGCCAGAGUGAUCUAGUCAUGAGCAGGUUGAAGCAGCGGUAAAACGCUGUGGAGGACCGAACUACAAUCUGUUAAAAAAGGUUUGGAUGACUUGUGACUAGGAGUGAAAGGCUAAACAAACCUGGAAAUAGCUGGUUCUCCCCGAAAUGCCUUUAGGGACAGCCUUAUACAAAAUUACCGGAGGUAAAGCACUGGAUGGACUAGGGGGCUUCACCGCCUACCAAACCCAAUCAAACUCUGAAUGCCGGUAAUCAACGUAUAGGAGUGAGACUGCGUGCGACAAGGUUCGUAGUCAAAAGGGAAACAGCCCAGACCGUCAGCUAAGGUCCCGAAAUACUGCUUGAGUGUAAAAUGAAGUGUGGAUACAAAGACAGCCAGGAGGUUGGCUUAGAAGCAGCCAUUCCUUAAAAGAGUGCGUAAUAGCUCACUGGUCGAGUAUACAUGCGCAGAUAAUGUAACGGGGCUAAGCAGUAUACCGAAGCUACGGGUCUUAUGCAUUAAGCAUAAGGCGGUAGGGGAGCAUUCCAUGGACUGAUGAAGGUGUACCCGUCAGGGGCACUGGAGGGGAUGGAAGAGAGAAUGCAGGUAUAAGUACACGAAAAGAAAGGUGAGAUUCCUUUCCGCCGAAAACCUAAGGUUUCCUGGGUAAAGGUCAUCUGCCCAGGGUUAGUCGGCCCCUAAGACCAGGACGAAGGUCGUAGUCGAUGGGAAAUCGGUUCAUAUUCCGAUACCUUUUAUAAUUUCGAUGGCAGGACGCAUGAGACGACCCCCGGCCGGAGAACGGUUGUUCCGGUCGAAGCUUUCAAGCCGUUAUAAAGGAUAGUAGGCAAAUCCGCUAUCCGAGGUGAGAGGUGACAGCGAGUGGAUCGAUGAGAGAAGCGAAGCGGGGUUAGUCAUGGUGCCGGGAAAUACUGUCUAAGGUUAAGAUUAUAAAAGACCGUACCGUAAACCGACACAGGUAGGUAGGAUGAGAAAUCUAAGGCGCUCGAGAGAACUCGCGUUAAGGAACUCGGCAAAAUGCACACGUAACUUAGGGAAAAGUGUGGCCUCUGUUUAGUAAUGAGUGGAGGUAGCAUAAAGCAGGCCCAGGCGACUGUUUAUCAAAAACACAGCCAUCUGCGAAUCAGUAAUGAGACGUAUAGGUGGUGACACCUGCCCGGUGCCGGAAGGUUAAGAGGAGCGGUUAGCAGUAAUGCGAAGCUGUCAAUUGAAGCCCCGGUAAACGGCGGCCGUAACUAUAACGGUCCUAAGGUAGCGAAAUUCCUUGUCGGGUAAGUUCCGACCCGCACGAAUGGUGUAACGUAUCUGGGCACUGUCUCAACGCGAGGCUCGGUGAAAUUUAUAUACCGGUAAAGAAGCCGGUUACCCAUAGUUAGACGGAAAGACCCCGUGAACCUUCACCGUAACUUACUAUUGGGACUUGGUUUAUCAUGUGUAGAAUAGGUGGGAAACUGUGAAACUUGCUCGUUAGGGUGAGUGGAGUUGAAAAGUGAAAUACCACCCUUGAUGAAUUAGGUUUCUAACCCGUUCCGUGAAGCCGGAAUGGGAACAGUGGUAGGCAGGCGGUUUGACUGGGGCGGUCGCCUCCUAAAAUGUAACGGAGGUGCGCGAAGGUCUCCUCACGUCGGUUGGAAAUCGACGCAGUGAGUGUAAAGGCACAAGGAGGCUUAACUGCAAGAGUGACAGCUCAAGCAGAUACGAAAGUAGGUCUUAGUGAUCUGGCGGUAGCGAGUGGAAGCGCCGUCACUUAACGGAUAAAAGGUACUCCGGGGAUAACAGGCUGAUUUUCCCCAAGAGUUCACAUCGACGGGAAAGUUUGGCACCUCGAUGUCGGCUCAUCGCAUCCUGGGGCUGAAGUAGGUCCCAAGGGUUUGGCUGUUCGCCAAUUAAAGCGGUACGUGAGCUGGGUUCAGAACGUCGCGAGACAGUUCGGUCCCUAUCUGCUAUGGGCGUUGGAUAUGUGAGAGGAGCUGCUUUUAGUACGAGAGGACCGAAGUGGACGAACCUCUGGUGUACCAGUUAUCCUGCCAAGGGUAAGUGCUGGGUAGCUAUCGUUCGGAAGGGAUAACCGCUGAAGGCAUCUAAGCGGGAAGCCCGCCUCAAGAUUACAUAUCCCUCGGGGUUUAACCCCGCUAAAGACUCCUUGCACACUACAAGGUUGAUAGGUUGCAGGUCUAAGCAUAGUAAUGUGUUCUAGCCGAGCAAUACUAAUAAGUCGUGAGGCUUGACCAUAU
rnacentral:rRNA from 1 species